UACGUAGGGGGCAAGCGUUGUCCGGAAUCAUUGGGCGUAAAGAGCGCGUAGGCGGUCCGAUAAGUCGGCUGUGAAAGUCAGGGGCUCAACCCUUGAAAGCCGGCCGAUACUGUCGGACUAGAGUUCGGAAGAGGCGAGUGGAAUUCCCGGUGUAGCGGUGAAAUGCGCAGAUAUCGGGAGGAACACCAAUGGCGAAGGCAGCUCGCUGGGACGUGACUGACGCUGAGGCGCGAAAGCGUGGGGAGCAAACAGGG
rnacentral:rRNA from 1 species